rnacentral:Y_RNA from 1 species
GGCUGGUCCAAAGUGGGUUACCGCAAUUGACUGUUCACAGUCAGUUACAGAUCCAACUCCUUGUUCUACUUUCUUCCCCACCUCUCACUAAUGCACUUGACUAUCUUAAA